rnacentral:rRNA from 1 species
AGGACGAACGCUGGCGGCGUGCUUAACACAUGCAAGUCGAACGGUGAAGCCCUUUCGGGGGUGGAUCAGUGGCGAACGGGUGAGUAACACGUGAGCAACCUGCCCUUGACUCUGGGAUAACUUCGGGAAACCGGAGCUAAUACCGGAUAUGACACGCGGAGGCAUCUCCUGUGUGUGGAAAGAUUCAUUGGUCAAGGAUGGGCUCGCGGCCUAUCAGCUAGUUGGUGGGUAAUGGCCUACCAAGGCGACGACGGGUA